rnacentral:rRNA from 1 species
UACGAGAGGCGCAAACGUUAUUCGGAAUUACUGGGCUUAAAGAGUUCGUAGGCGGCGCAGAAAGUAGGGUGUGAAAGCCCUCGGCCCAACCGAGGAAUUGCGCUCUAAACUACUGUGCUUGAGGGACCUAGAGGUGAGCGGAACUGAUGGUGGAGCGGUGAAAUGCGUUGAUAUCAUCAGGAACACCGGAGGCGAAGGCGGCUCACUGGGGGUCUUCUGACGCUGAGGAACGAAAGCCAGGGGAGCGAACGGG